rnacentral:ncRNA from 1 species
AAACUCUGGAGAAUCCCGAUAAACCAUAUCGGGUGCCGAAGGUGCAAGGCUUAUACCGAAUCUCUCAGGCAAAAGGACAGAAC